GACGAACGCUGGCGGCGUGCCUAACACAUGCAAGUCGAGGGUUUUAGUAGUAAUACGAAGAACACUGGCGCACGGGUGAGUAACACGUAGAUCAUCUGCCCCUAACACUGACAUAACAGUUCUAACGGACUGCUAAUAUCAGAUGUGAUAAGCAAUUAUUAAAGGGUAACCGGUUAGGGAUGAGUCUGCGUCUGAUUAGGUAGUUGGUGAGGUAACGGCUCACCAAGCCUACGAUCAGUAACUGGUCUGAGAGGACGAACAGUCACACUGGAACUGAGACACGGUCCAGACUCCUACGGGAGGCAGCAGUGAGGAAUAUUGCACAAGUGGAAGAACUCUGAUGCAGCGACGCC
rnacentral:rRNA from 1 species